ensembl:lncRNA
GGGGGACUAAAUCAGACUGGGGGGACUAAAUCAGACUGGGGGGACUAAAUCAGACUGGGGGAACUAAAUCAGACUGGGGGGACUAAAUCAGACUGGGGGAACUAAAUCAGACUGGGGGACUAAAUCAGACUGGGGACUAAAUCAGACUGGGGGGACUAAAUCAGACUGAAAUGGGCCGUGGCCCCAACCUACCACAGCGUAGGGAUUGUAUCGGAGCAGACUGAGGGGUUCUGAGUCUAGUUGGUAUUACAGAAGAAGAGGAUAUAUCUACAAUAAAUAUCAUUAAAAUCCUCCACUAUACAAAGCUGAGGUUAUUUCACAUAAAAAGUAUAAAUAACAACGUAUUCCUAUAUUAAUAGUAGAAUGUAACCGUGCCUAAGGUUCAGCGUCUCAUGGAAGAGGGGUGUCUCCUAAGGUUCAGCGUCUCAUGGAAGAGGGGUGUCUCCUAAGGUUCAGCGUCUCAUGGAAGAGGGGUGUCUCCUAAGGUUCAGCGUCUCAUGGAAGAGGGGUGUCUCCUAAGGUUCAGCGUCUCAUGGAAGAGGGGUGUCUCCUAAGGUUCAGCGUCUCAUGGAAGAGGGGUGUCUCCUAAGGUUCAGCGUCUCAUGGAAGAGGGGUCUCUCCGAAGGUUAUAUUCUGUCACACAGAUGAUGCCUCUAUAUGUUUGACAUCACAUGACCUAUGACCCCUGUACCGAGGUGAGUGAACCAGGCAUUUAAAAUGUCAUUUCAGAGUUCUGACAGUGUUGUACUUGUGCUUGCCACAUACUGUAAAGCAGCGAUGUUAGGUUGUUACGUCACUAACUCUCAACAGGAAGUGACAUCAUUGACUAUCAACAUGAAAUUACAAUUAACUGUCAACAGGAAAUGGCUGCGGAGAAACCAGCGGACGUUGUGUGACGUGACCAGCUCAAGACCGUCAAUCAUAUAGGUUUUUGUAGUCCAUUCAACAGGAACAACUACAUUACCCAUCAGGCCUAGCUUCAGUGAGGACAGUCCUAGAGCAGAGGGUGAAUGGCUUUUUACCCUUCAGAAAUGUAGUGUGUUCUGGAAACCUCCUAAACUCCCUACUCCUUCUGUUUCUGCAGAUCUGAAGAGACUGGAUAGGUAUACAUCAGCAACAUGGUGAUGGCUUCAAUAGCCUCCCUAUGGACAUAGAGAAACUACUGCCAUAUUGCUUAUACCUAUUCAGUCCCUGUAGAUCUGUAGAUGUUGCAGGGGAUAGGAUAGUGGGGAUUCAGACUGAAGACCAGUGGUGUAUUCAUUAGUCACUGUUGCAAAACGUUUUGACAAUGGAAGACGGUUUGCAACGAAAAAUGAGAGUUUCUAUU